rnacentral:rRNA from 1 species
CGGCGUGCUUAACACAUGCAAGUCGAACGGAAAGGCCCUGCUUGCAGGGUACUCGAGUGGCGAACGGGUGAGUAACACGUGGGUGAUCUGCCCUGCACUUCGGGAUAAGCUUGGGAAACUGGGUCUAAUACCGGAUAGGAACCAUCUUUAGUGUGGUGGUUGGAAAGUUUUUUCGGUGUAGGAUGAGCUCGCGGCCUAUCAGCUUGUUGGUGGGGUAAUGGCCUACCAAGGCGGCGACGGGUAGCCGGCCUGAGAGGGUGUACAGCCACAUUGGGACUGAGAUACGGCCCACACUCCUAGGGGAGGCAUCAGUGGGGAAUAUUGCACAAUGGGCGCAAGCAUGAUGCAGCGACGCCGCGUGGGGGAUGAAGGCCUUCGGGUUGUAAACUCCUUUCGCUAGGGACGAAGCUUUUUGUGACGGUACCUAGAUAAGAAGCACCGGCUAACUACGUGCCAGCAGCCGCGGUAAUACGUAGGGUGCGAGCGUUGUCCGGAAUUACUGGGCGUAAAGGGCUCGUAGGUGGUUUGUCGCGUCGUCUGUGAAAUUCUGGGGCUUAACUCCGGGCGUGCAGGCGAUACGGGCAUAACUUGAGUGCUGUAGGGGUAACUGGAAUUCCUGGUGUAGCGGUGAAAUGCGCAGAUAUCAGGAGGAACACCGAUGGCGAAGGCAGGUUACUGGGCAGU